rnacentral:lncRNA from 1 species
CCGAGCUGCGGAACUAACGAGUCUGAUCAAUAGAGUCCGUCAUUUUUUCUAUUCCUUCCUACUUCUUCUUCCUCUAUUAUGUGCUUUUAUUAUAUUUGCCUGAAACUCGAUAAAAUAGAGUUGUUUGAGACCAAAUGUUAUAGAGUUGGGGGCUCUCUGGGGGGGCACACCUUCACUUCCUUCUUAAUGAAGGGGUUCCCCGGGAGUCUGACCUUGUCCUUUCUUUUAAUUGUCGGGGCCGUCAUGAGUGCCGAAACCUAUUUCGGUAAGAUGAUGAUGGCUCCUUCGGGCGCAUCAAGCUCUGAAGAUCCAAACUGGACGGAAGCCCUGAGAUCUUCUAAAGGGCAGGGAGAGACUUCAGAAAGGGAAAGCACAGGCACAUCGU